rnacentral:rRNA from 1 species
GAUGAACGCUAGCGAUAGGCCUAACACGUGCAAGUCGAGGGGCAUCACAUGAAGUAGCAAUACGGAUGGUGGCGACCGGCGCACGGGUGAGUAACACGUAUGCAACCUGCCUUCAACAAGGGGAUAACCCGUUGAAAGACGGACUAAUACCCUAUAACACAGGGGUCCCGCAUGGGGAUAUUUGUUAAAGGACAACCGGUUGAAGAUGGGCAUGCGUUCCAUUAGCUAGUUGGCGGGGUAAGGCCCACCAAGGCAACGAUGGAUAGGGGAACUGAGAGGUUUAUCCCCCACACUGGUACUGAGACACGGACCAGACUCCUACGGGAGGCAGCAGUGAGGAAUAUUGGUCAAUGGACGCAAGUCUGAACCAGCCACGUCGCGUGCAGGAAGAAUGUCCUAUGGAUUGUAAACUGCUUUUGCAGGGGAAUAAAGUGAGCCACGUGUGGUUUUUUGUAUGUACUCUGCGAAUAAGGAUCGGCUAACUCCGUGCCAGCAGCC